UUCUUUUGUCGCCGAACUCGAGCCAUCCCCCGCCUCUCUUCCCUUUUCUUCCCGACGCCGCCGCUUACUUUCUUCUCUUUGCCCUAACCGCCGGCGGCGGUUUCCUCGCCGACGCUUAAAUCCCUCGGCAACUCCUUCUCCCUCUCUUCAUUUCUUCUCUUUUGCCGACGACCUCUGCGCCCUAAUUUCUCCGUCGUCUGCCGCCGUCGAACAGAGAGCGUCGGCCACCAGGUCUGGUACCAGUCGCGGCUAUGCCCUAGUCUUCUCUUCUCGUGCAGCCACCGCCGAUCGACGCUGCCUUCCUGUGUCCUAGCCUCAGCCGCGACACCCACCCGACGGCGUCACCACCUGCGGUGCCGCUGGCCGAGCCCUAUCUCCGAUCGCCGAGCAGAGCAGGUCUCUUGCUUCUACCUUAGCUCUGUGCCCUAGUGUCCGACAUCUCCUGGAACAGCCGAGUCUUCCUCUCGCACGAAAUCAGCACAGCAGUGCCCUUUCGCCACUGUCCUUGUGCCCUAGCAUCGGUCGGCCAGCCGUCAAGUGCUAGCAGCAACUUUGACGGAUCCUAGGUCAUCACAGGCAGUAGGAGGGAAGAGCUUCUCCGGGUCUCGACGGUAAGUUCUUCAGGAUUUGAGCAGCACUGAGGCAUCGAAAAAUUUGAGGACCUUGACGCGAGACGAGUAUCUCGGAGUCAGAUUUGGACCAUUUUAUCGGAGG